GGCGAGGACCGCGGCCGUGGUCGCGGCGGCUUCGGCCGCGGCGGAGCCCGGGGCGGCUCGGACCGCGGCGGCAGAGGCGGCAGAGGAGGAUUCAGCCGUGGCGGUGGCGUCCAUCCGUCGUGGGCGGCCAAGAAGAGCCAGAGCCCGAGCAUCGGCAAGUUCGAGGGCAAGAAGGUCACGUUUGAUUAGUGGAUUCUGUCCUUUGGAAGCCGUUUUGAAGCGUAUUUUUGAAAUGGUUGACGGGCAACUGCGAGUGAGGGUGUACAAUGGGUCUCGUUUAGUAGCCUUUUCUAGCAGUGCGGUUUCAUCGACAUUGAGUUUACGUGCGGUGGGCUAGCAUCCUGCCUGCUCCAGGAGACCUGCAGUGGCCCACUAACGGCCGGGUCGCGCUGAAGUGUGGUGGAAAGCGGGCGUUAGAUACCUCGGUGAACACGUGGUUUGUAGUUCAUGUCAUCAAUGCGCCGUUUAUGAAGUGCGUUAUCGAGCGUCGAAACGUCAUGAAACAUUGCAAAUAAAUCCUUCUGAAUGCCUCACUC